rnacentral:rRNA from 1 species
UAGCAUACAAGGCAGACGGCUCAGUAACGCGUAGUCAAUCUACCCUAUGGACGGGAAUAAUCUCGGGAAACUGAGAAUAAUGCCCGAUAGAACAUUAUGCCUGGAAUGGUUUAUGUUUCAAAUGAUUUAUCGCCAUAGGAUGGGACUGCGGCCUAUCAGUUUGUUGGUGAGGUAAUGGCCCACCAAGACUAUUACAGGUACGGGCUCUGAGAGGAGUGGCCCGGAGAUGGGUACUGAGACACGGACCCAGGCCCUAUGGGGCGCAGCAGGCGAGAAAACUUUGCAAUGUGCGAAAGCACGACAAGGUUAAUCCGAGUGGUUUCUGCUAAAGAAACCUUUUGCCAGUCCUAGAAACACUGGUGAAUAAGGGGUGGGCAAGUUCUGGUGUCAGCCGCCGCGGUAAAACCAGCACCUCAAGUGGUCAGGAUGAUUAUUGGGCCUAAAGCAUCCGUAGCCGGUUCUGUAAGUUUUCGGUUAAAUCCACUAGCUUAACUAAUGGGCUGCCGAAAAUACUGCAGAACUAGGGAGUGGGAGAGGUAGACGGUACUCGGUAGGAAGGGGUAAAAUCCUUUGAUCUAUUGAUGACCACCUGUGGCGAAGGCGGUCUACCAGAACACGUUCGACGGUGAGGGAUGAAAGCUGGGGGGGCAAACCGGAUUAGAUACCCGGGUAGUCCCAGCUGUAAACGAUGCAGACUCGGUGAUGCACUGGCUUGUGGCCAGUGCAGUGCCGCAGGGAAGCCGUUAAG